AUAGUGCAUGAAUGAAGAGAUGGUUAGCUCUCUCCUUGCCAAAGAUGGAAAAGGCUUUGGCCUGCAACGUGCAAACAGUUAAAUUCUUGCCACCUAUUUCAUGGUAUCUAACCUCUGUUUUUA
ensembl:snRNA